UACGGAGGAUGCGAGCGUUAUCCGGAUUUAUUGGGUUUAAAGGGUGCGCAGGCGGCACGGCAAGCCGGCGGUCAAAUCGCGGGGCUCAACCCCGCCCAGCCGUCGGAACUGCCGGGCUAGAGUGGGCGAGAAGUGCGCGGAAUGCGUGGUGUAGCUGUGAAAUGCAUAGAUAUCACGCAGAACUCCGAUUGCGAAGGCAGCGCACCGGCGCCUUACUGACGCUCAGGCACGAAAGCGUGGGUAUCGAACAGG
rnacentral:rRNA from 1 species